GAUGAACGCUGGCGGCGUGCCUAAUACAUGCAAGUCGAGCGAACCACUUCGGUGGUGAGCGGCGAACGGGUGAGUAACACGUAGGUGAUCUGCCCAUCAGACGGGGACAACGAUUGGAAACGAUCGCUAAUACCGGAUAGGACGAAAGUUUAAAGGUGCUUCUGGCACCGCUGAUGGAUGAGCCUGCGGCGCAUUAGCUAGUUGGUAGGGUAAAGGCCUACCAAGGCGACGAUGCGUAGCCGACCUGAGAGGGUGAACGGCCACACUGGGACUGAGACACGGCCCAGACUCCUACGGGAGGCAGCAGUAGGGAAUCUUCGGCAAUGGGCGAAAGCCUGACCGAGCAACGCCGCGUGAAUGAUGAAGGCCUUCGGUUGUAAAUUCUGUUAUAAGGGAAGAACGACUUUAGUAGGAAAUGGCUAGAGUGUGACGGUACCUUAUGAGAAAGCCACGGCUAACUACGUGCCAGCAGCCGCGGUAAU
rnacentral:rRNA from 1 species